rnacentral:rRNA from 1 species
AGUGAACGCUGGCGGUAGGCCUAACACAUGCAAGUCGAACGGCAGCACAGUAAGAGCUUGCUCUUACGGGUGGCGAGUGGCGGACGGGUGAGGAAUACAUCGGAAUCUACUUUUUCGUGGGGGGAUAACGUAGGGAAACUUACGCUAAUACCGCAUACGACCUACGGGUGAAAGCAGGGGAUCUUCGGACCUUGCGCGAUUGAAUGAGCCGAUGUCGGAUUAGCUAGUUGGCGGGGUAAAGGCCCACCAAGGCGAAGAUCCGUAGCUGGUCUGAGAGGAUGAUCAGCCACACUGGAACUGAGACACGGUCCAGACUCCUACGGGAGGCAGCAGUGGGGAAUAUUGGACAAUGGGCGCAAGCCUGAUCCAGCCAUACCGCGUGGGUGAAGAAGGCCUUCGGGUUGUAAAGCCCUUUUGUUGGGAAAGAAAAGCAGCAGGUUAAUACCCCGCUGUUCUGACGGUACCCAAAGAAUAAGCACCGGCUAACUUCGUG